AAUAAUAUCUAACCUUAUCCGAUUUUAGGCAUAAAAAAACCUGCCAGAAAGCAGGUUUUUUUAUUGU
rnacentral:sRNA from 1 species